CUCUCCCCACUCCCAUUCAGCAUAGCUUUGAGGGUGUUCUUUGCUCUUGGGUUUCUAAUUCUUUUAAUUGUGAUGUUGGGUAGUUAACUUGAGAUCUCAAUUUUGUUUUUGAGAUGGAGUGUUGUUCUCUCAACCAGGCUGGAGUGCAGUGGUGUGAUAUGGGCUCACUGCAACAUUUAUCUCCUGGGUUCAAGCAGUUCUCCUGCCUCAGCCUCCUGAGUACCUGGGAUUACAGAUGAAGAAGAUGAGACUCAGAGCAAUACAUAAGUUGCCCAAGGUCAGAGAGCAAGUAAUUACAAUUUACAAUGGAAGAUACAGAGGCCACAAGGUAGUAGAGUUGAGUUAUAUUAACAGAAAACCUUGUUAGAGAAAAGAACCACCUCUCACUAUCAUGUUCAAUGGCAAAGAUUAAUAGAAGGUACAGCAAAAUGGACACACAUGCGAGUAUACCCACAUUGA